rnacentral:lncRNA from 1 species
AAAAAAGAACAAAAAUAACAAGUAUUUUUUACAUUUUGGAAUUGAGAUAUGAGAGAAAUUCCCACACUGCACCACAGUUGAGGUUGAGAUAGUGGACAACCAAGUUCAGUCUACACACAUUUCACCUGGCUGUUGCUUAAAAGGUCUUGUGAUGUAACAACAAAGUAAACUUCAGUUGAAGCACCUUUAUGAGAGGCAAUGACACAUGAAUCGGACCCCACUGAAACCAGUAAUAGGGAUAAAUGGACAUGCUGUUAGGGUAUAAGACAGCCAAAAAAUGUUCUCUCAGGAUAGACAUUACAGCCCUAAUAACACACUUGAUUCUUUGCUUUAGCCUAAUAAGGAAAGCAGAUUUCCAAUCAGUGAGAGGAGUUCCCCUCGGCCAGCGAUUUGGGAAACUGUUGGGAGUUGUGGUGGUAGCAGAACACAGGAGAAAGCCACUCAGGAGCUGGACAAGGGUGGUAGCAGUGGGGAUGCAGAAAGGGGACAUACUGGAGAUAUGUUUUGUGUUUUAUUGAGAGCCUGCUAAAUGCCAUGUUACAUUCAAGGUGCCUGAUUACAGAGGUGGAGAAGAUAAGGACCUGCUCUCGCUUGAUUAAGAGCAUGGAUGCUGAAGCUAGUCUGCUUGGAUUCAAAUCCCAGCUCUGGGCUGAGCAUGCUGGCUAAUGCCUGUAAUUCCAACACUUUGGGAGGUAAAGGUGAGAGGAUCACUUGAGCCCAGGAGUUCAAGAGCAACCUGGGCAACAUAGUGAGACUGUCUAUACAAAAAAAGAAAAAUUAACUGGGCAUGGUGGCACAUGCCCAUAGUCCCAGCUACUGGGGAAGCUAAGGUGGGAGGAUGGCUUGAGCCUUGGAGGUCAAGGCUGUAGUGAGCAAUGAACUUACCACUGCACUCCAGCCUGGGUAAUAGAGUGAGACCCUGUUUCAAAAUAUAAAAAAUAAAAAAUCCCAGCUCUGCCGCUAACUAACUGUAUGACCAUGUGCAAGUUACUUAACCUACCAAGACUCAGUCUCCUCAUCUGUAAAAUGGGCAUAAUAAAAGUAUCCACCUUCUAGAGUAAUAGGCCCGAUUCUAAAUGCCUAACAAGAUUAAACAUUAGCCAGGUGCGGGCUCACACCUGUAAUCCCAACAAUUUAGGAGGCCAAGGC